UCUUACUUGAGCCUUGCAUCAACGGAGGAAAAACUUGGUGUUGAAUGUGACAGAAACAACCAUAUCGCAUGUGAUGAUCUAAAUGUGAAGCAUGCAUGCGCAUUUGAGAUGAUGAUAUAGCUAUGAACUGCAAAUGAGAAUGCGUAAGCAUUGCAAGGACUCAUAACUGUCCGCAUUGGGAGAAUAUGGUUAGGUGGAGGACCAAAAAGAUACC
rnacentral:lncRNA from 1 species